rnacentral:lncRNA from 1 species
AUUGAUGCAAGAUUCGGAAGGGAGAAUUCUCUGAUAAGAGUACAGAAAAAAUGAGAAAUAGGAUGUAGAGUUUAAAGUGUUGUAUACAAAAGAUUAUUACAACUACAAUGCGGAAUGAUAAACUCUCAAAGUGUAAAACCGAACCAAAACCGACUCAAAGCUUCUUCAACACCACCAAUGAAGUGUUCUUGAUAUUGAGAUCAGAUUUGUGUCACACCGGAUCAUGCACCAUCUUCCACAGGAAUGACAAUGGAUAUACCGAGAAAGGAUCCGUCGGAAGCCACCAAGAAUUUCGUCGGAGUUUUGGAAAGCUCCCACUUGGUUACCUCUCUAUGCUCUCUCUCAAAUGUUAUGCCAAGUCCAAGUAGAGAGAAUGAAGAUGUCUUGAAAUUAUAGAGCCAAUUCAAUUGAAUUCAAAAUUCAAAUAUUGUACUAUGGUCUAGAGAGUGAUAACACUAGUAUACUUAAUUGACCACUAGAUUAAAUCCAACAAUUGGAUUUAAUCUAUGGUCCAUAUCAUCCCAUAACUAGCACAAUCGAAGUCAUAUUCUCUGGACCAAUCAACUUGCACCAAUACUAUGUUGUGAUCCAUCUUUCAAAUCUUCACCAUGGAUCACAUAACAUCCAUCGCCAAAUUCCUCGGUUACAAGUGAU